UUUUUAUGUUUCUCCGCAGUCGGGUGCUUUCCUAUCAGUGGGUGAGGCCGGACACUAGUUGCAGCUGCCGCUGUUAAGCAUGUCACUGGACUACAACUUGUAUUUUUCUGCUGGCUUCCCCACUGACUUCGCUUUUACAAAGCCUGCUGUGAAGAUUGCAAAUGGUGAUCAUGUGACCAUGGGGAGAACUUUGACAACUGGUCGUAAAUCUUUUUCAGCACUGUGCAUAACUAUGAACAGCCUCUGAAUAAGUCGAUAAGCAAGGAUUCCUUUCUUGUUACAGGUAAUUCUGCAAAAGCAAUGCCUUAACAUGUUCAUUGGUGAUAACAAUUAUGUUUGGAAGAUUUAGCAGUAAAAAGAAAAUCAAAGCACCAAAUAACAUAGUGCUUGGAUACCACUGAACAGGAUACCAACCACAGCAUAGAACAACGCAAGAAAGUAGUGCAAGAUUGGACGAUCUGGAGAGAUCUGGCCCAUAGAAUCGCCAAGGGUCGGACUUGACUGAAUGGAUAACAUUAUCAUCAGCAUUGCCUUAGCAAGUGACAAAAAAUAAGAGCAUGGUUUAAAAGCAACUAUAUGUGCUAAAACAUAAGUUUUCAUGGAUGGGAUUUUGGUUCACUGGCUCCAUCAGCUGGCAGGUACACAUAAUUAUUGAUACUUGGAAAUUACAGCAGAUCAGCAAAAACUGGUGCCGUCCAAUACAAAAUUGGUCACAUGGCAGCUAUUUGUAGAUUUGACAUUAUUAAGCUGGAGUUCAUUGGAAAUGGAAAAUAGCUAAUUAUAAGGAUUGUCCAAGACAUUUAUAUACAGCAAUGUAUAUUUUGCCUCUUCAUAAGAAACAGGGAGUUAAUGACAGCAGUUCCAAAUUGGAAAAGUGACCUUACUUCUUCUAAUGCAUUCUUAAGACAAACCCCAAAGAGAAACCAUUCAAGUUUAUAUUUUUUCCCUCUUAGAUUCCUUAUGGAAUGAAAAUUUUAUAUUUAAUAUGAUUCAGCACUGAGAAUCCCAAUUCCCAUCUCAUUUUUUCCUAGAU